UACGGAGGGUGCAAGCGUUGUCCGGAAUCACUGGGCGUAAAGGGCGCGUAGGCGGCUCAUGAAGGCUGUGGUGAAAGUCCGGGGCUCAACCUCGGAUCGGCCGUGGCGACUCGUGGGCUGGAGCACUGUAGAGGCGGGUGGAAUUCCGGGUGUAGCGGUGGAAUGCGUAGAGAUCCGGAAGAACACCGGUGGCGAAGGCGGCUCACUGGCUCAUUACUGACGCUCAAGCGCGAUAGCGUGGGGAUCAAACAGG
rnacentral:rRNA from 1 species